rnacentral:snRNA from 1 species
ACUUAAUAACUCAUUUGACCCA